CGGAGUGUAGCGCAGCCUGGUAGCGCACCUGCUUCGGGAGCAGGGGGUCGGAGGUUCAAAUCCUCUCACUCCGACCA
rnacentral:tRNA from 1 species